UGUGUGUGUGUGUGUGUAAAAUAAAUUUCUUUUAAAUGUAUAGCACAGUAAUGAAGGCAGCAACAUGUGGUAGAUGGUAGUACUUAAUAAUCUUUCAUUGUGCUAAUGUAUUAUAAUACAAAAGGGUAUGGCUCUUAUACAGUGCGCAGUGCUUAUACACAACCAGUGCGCAGAAUGAUGCACUUGAAGCAACACAGAGUCACAGCGUGUAGCAUUACUCAUAGAAAUGUUCAAAAUGCCAAGGGAAGAGAUAUUGAUGUUGUGUAUUAUAUGUGUGCAAUAUUUUGAGCCUUUUCUUUUAACAGUUUUAAAUCUUAGUUAUUGUGCGCUCUUGAAGAGAGUUUCAUUGUUUUGACUGUAGUAACUAGGGCUGGGAUGAUACGCUAAUCUGCCAAUUCAAUACUAUCCCGAUACUUGUGUGCCGAUUCAAUGUUUAUUUAUAAUUAUAUAUAUAAUUGAGUAUUGUGAUUAUAGUUAUAUAACUAUUGCAAUUCGUGACUUAUCCAAAUUGUCUAUAAAAUUAUUUGUUUGUUUCUGUAGAUUUGAGGGAAAGAUUAUAAACGAGGAGGUCUGGGAAUGACUGAAGGGAACUGACAGCAGUGAGGGAAGGAAAUAAUCACCAGAAUGUAAAAGGAUGUUGACAGUGCAGGCCCAGGAUGAAGAAGAGGAGGAAGAACACAUUUAACAAUUUUCUCAUAAACUUUCCAUGUGUUAUAAUAAAAACAAUGAACAUGACUACAAUAAUAUGCUAAAUGUUAUUAAAAGAUUCCAGUUUGCAAGAAAUCUGAGUGUCUGACUCUACACUAGAGGAACUCUUUUCUGAAGAACAUCAGGUGCUGAGAAGAAGCAUUGUUAUUACAGCAAAACACUGCAUCAAGCCUCCUGUCCUUCCCUCAGAAGAGCCUGUUUUCUGCUGCUAGGGUAAGAAACACACUCUUCCUCUUCUCUAUCGGCUGUCCAGCACCUAACUCUGCCUCCUCAGCACUGUCUGAAAGAGUCUUCUCCACAGUCUGUAAUCAGAGAUCACAGAUUCUUCUGAG